rnacentral:lncRNA from 1 species
AGCUCUUAGCCAGACCCGGGCCCCAGGCUUCUCUCCGCCAGGGAAGCGAGUCUUAAAAAGGAAGUGGUUGGAACACCUGGCCUUACUCCCAGAGAAUGGCCCAUCAGUUCAGUAGUCCUGAAUCCGGCCUUCUGGGUACUCUCCCAGCACACACUGGUGCAAUCUGUUUUUCUUAUCAUCACUGGAUGCUUCAUACUCAACAAUGAACUGUGCUACAUGAGGACUGUACCACUAUUCCACAAGGUUAUUUUCUGCCAUCAUUCAUUCACUCCACAAACAAUGAACACCUGCUACAUGCUGGGCUCUGUACCAGGCAUCAAAGUUACAAAGUAAGUAAUAUGAAGCUUCUACCUGUUAAGAGUGGAGUCCAUGGGCUGGGGAUGUGGCUCAGCGGUAGCGCGCUCGCCU